rnacentral:rRNA from 1 species
UACGAAGGGGGCUAGCGUUGCUCGGAAUCACUGGGCGUAAAGCGCACGUAGGCGGAUUGCUAAGUCAGGGGUGAAAUCCUGGAGCUCAACUCCAGAACUGCCUUUGAUACUGGUGAUCUUGAGUCCGGGAGAGGUGAGUGGAACUGCGAGUGUAGAGGUGAAAUUCGUAGAUAUUCGCAAGAACACCAGUGGCGAAGGCGGCUCACUGGCCCGGUACUGACGCUGAGG